rnacentral:ncRNA from 14 species
UGUAACUCAGUUGGUUAGAGUGUGGGACUGUUAAUCCCGAAGUCGCCGGUUCGAUUCCGGUC